AGCAUCCUACACAUCAUCCCAUAUCUCAAACACAUACAAACUUCCCACCUUUCCUCUCUACUUCAAGUCCACAAAUGUCUACUUUCCAUGCUCCCACUUCUCAAAUACCUACAAAUACCCAACAACCCCACUCUACAAGGAAACCUACACAUCAUCUUACAUCUAACACACCUUCAAAUAUCCAAUUUCCACAACCUACAAGGCAACUGAAACAUCAUCCCAUAUCUCAAACAUUUACAAAUUUCCCACCUUUCCUCUCUACUCCAAGUCCACAAAUGUCUACAAUUCAUGCUCCCACCUCUCAAAUACCUACAAAUAUCCAAUCUCCCCACUCUACUCCUAGUCCACCACAUCUUUCUAAUACACAUAGACCAUAUGAUGUUGUAUCUUGUGGUGAUCCACAUGUAUCAUCAUCAUUAUGUGAUGAUUCGUAUCUGAUAGCUG
rnacentral:lncRNA from 1 species